rnacentral:rRNA from 1 species
GAACGCUGGCGGCGUGCUUAUACAUGCAAGUCGAACGCGAAAGCACUCUUCGGAGUGCGAGUAGAGUGGCGAAUGGGUGAGUAACGCGUAGGGUAUGUACCCUCGAGAUUGAGAUAACCCCGGGAAACCGGGGCUAAUACCGAAUGAAGCAUGACCUGUGGGAUGGUGAUGUGAAAGUGGCGCAAGUCACGUUUGGGGAGCAGCCUGCGUCCUGUCUGCUUGUUGGCGGGGUAACGGCCCACCAAGGCGAAGACGGGUAGCUGAUCUGAGAGGAUGAUCAGCCACACUGGGACUGAGACACGGCCCAGACUCCUACGGGAGGCAGCAGUAGGGAAUAUUGCGCAAUGGGGGAAACCCUGACGCAGCGACGCCGCGUGAGCGAAGAAGGCUUUAUUAGUCGUAAAGCUCUGUAGGGAGGGAAGAACCGCAGGUGGUAACGCAUCUGUCUGACGGUACCUCCAAAGUAAGGACCGGCUAAAUACGUGCCAGCAGCCGCGGUAAGACGGAGGAUGCAAGCGUUAUCCGGAAUUAUUGGGCGUAAAGCGUCCGUAGGUGGCUUUUCAAGUCGGCGGUCAAAGACCGGGGCUUAACUCCGGAAAGGCCGUGGAAACUGAAAGGCUAGAGAAAGGUAGGGGUAGGGGGAAUUCCCGGUGUAGCGGUGAAAUGCGUAGAGAUCGGGAAGAACACCGGUGGCGAAAGCGCCCUACUGGACCUUAUCUGACACUGAGGGACGAAAGCUAGGGGAGCGAAAGGGAUUAGAUACCCCUGUAGUCCUAGCCGUAAACGAUGGAUACUAGGUGUGGCUCGUAUCGACCCGAGCCGUGCCGGAGCUAACGCGUUAAGUAUCCCGCCUGGGGAGUACGCACGCAAGUGUGAAACUCAAAGGAAUUGACGGGGGCCCGCACAAGCGGUGGAGUAUGUGGUUUAAUUCGAUGCAACGCGAAGAACCUUACCAGGGCUUGACAUGUGGCGAACCCCGGGGAAACCUGGGGGUGCCUUCGGGAGCGCCAACACAGGUGGUGCAUGGCUGUCGUCAGCUCGUGUCGUGAGAUGUUGGGUUAAGUCCCGCAACGAGCGCAACCCUCGUCCUUAGUUGCCAUCAUUAAGUUGGGCACUUUAGGGAGACUGCCGGUGACAAACCGGAGGAAGGUGGGGAUGACGUCAAGUCAUCAUGCCCCUUACGUCCUGGGCUACACACGUACUACAAUGGGUAGGACAGAGGGCAGCAAGUACGCGAGUGCAAGCUAAUCCCUUAAACCUAUCCUCAGUUCAGAUUGAAGCUUGCAACUCAGCUUCAUGAAGGAGGAAUCGCUAGUAAUCGCAGGUCAGCAUACUGCGGUGAUACGUUCCCGGGCCUUGUACACACCGCCCGUCACACCAUGGAAGUUGGCCAUGCCCGAAGUCAUUACCCUAACCGCAAGGAGGGGGAUGCCGAAGGCAGGGCUGAUGACUGGGGUGAAGUC